GUGAGAGUUUGGAAAACAAAAAUCUUGGAUUAAGUUUGGAUCCUGGCCCACAUUGUACCCCUCUCAUGAAGCACGUGCCAUUCCGAUUUUAAAAUAAUGGGAAGAACGCUACGGCACCGCUCACUGGUGAUAUGACUCUCAAACUGUCUACAGAUUGCCGAGUAAGUGAAAUGUUUUGACAGAGAGAAAUAUGUGUUGUCAACAUUGCUUUACCCAUGGUUGA
rnacentral:lncRNA from 1 species